GAGAGAAGGAGCGAGCGAGCGAGCGAGUGAGGCGGCGUGGUGGAAGGAGAGGUGGGCAACAGGUAGGUAUGCGUGCACCUACGUGGACUCUAGCGCGCGGCGGCAUACCGAUGCGUCCAGGUGAGGGGAUUGCACGGGCCGAAGGUGUGUAGUCGUUGAGCCGGAGUGUAGGAAGUGUGACAGCGUUCGAGGAGCUGUGCCCCGAACAGCGGUUGAUCCUCGCUCUUGAUCCCCACGUCGUUGUCUUCCUUUUAUCUCCUUAGUGCGUGCGUGCGUGCGCGUAUUACCGAAGAACUAUCCCCGUAGGAGGUCCACGAGAAUGAGUGGUUGGCCGUUUGCGAAUGCCGACCUCUAAUCUCGGACACCUGUGCACACGGGCUGCCCCCUAAAGAAUUUCGGCUUUCAAGAUUCAAUCAGUCAUCGCAGAAUGCCGUAUUACAACUCCUCGAGCCAUGGAAACUCCCUCUAUAACAAGGAAAGCGGACCGAGUGGUGGUGGUGGCGGCGGCGGCG